GACGAACGCUGGCGGCGUGCUUAACACAUGCAAGUCGAACGGAAAGGCCCUGCUUUUGUGGGGUGCUCGAGUGGCGAACGGGUGAGUAACACGCGAGUAACCUGCCCUUGACUUUGGGAUAACUUCAGGAAACUGGGGCUAAUACCGGAUAGGAGCUCCUGCUGCAUGGUGGGGGUUGGAAAGUUUCGGCGGUUGGGGAUGGACUCGCGGCUUAUCAGCUUGUUGGUGGGGUAGUGGCUUACCAAGGCUUUGACGGGUAGCCGGCCUGAGAGGGUGACCGGCCACAUUGGGACUGAGAUACGGCCCAGACUCCUACGGGGGGGCAGCAGUGGGGAAUAUUGCACAAUGGGCGGAAGCCUGAUGCAGCAACGCCGCGUGCGGGAUGACGGCCUUCGGGUUGUAAACCGCUUUCGCCUGUGACGAAGCGUGAGUGACGGUAAUGGGUAAAGAAGCACCGGCUAACUACGUGCCAGCAGCCGCGGUGAUACGUAGGGUGCGAGCGUUGUCCGGAUUUAUUGGGCGUAAAGGGCUCGUAGGUGGUUGAUCGCGUCGGAAGUGUAAUCUUGGGGCUUAACCCUGAGCGUGCUUUCGAUACGGGUUGACUUGAGGAAGGUAGGGGAGAAUGGAAUUCCUGGUGGAGCGGUGGAAUGCGCAGAUAUCAGGAGGAACACCAGUGGCGAAGGCGGUUCUCUGGGCCUUUCCUGACGCUGAGGAGCGAAAGCGUGGGGAGCGAACAGGCUUAGAUACCCUGGUAGUCCACGCUGUAAACGGUGGGUACUAGGUGUGGGGUCCAUUCCACGGGUUCCGUGCCGUAGCUAACGCUUUAAGUACCCCGCCUGGGGAGUACGGCCGCAAGGCUAAAACUCAAAGGAAUUGACGGGGCCCCGCACAAGCGGCGGAGCAUGCGGAUUAAUUCGAUGCAACGCGUAGAACCUUACCUGGGUUUGACAUGGAUCGGGAGCGCUCAGAGAUGGGUGUGCCUCUUUUGGGGUCGGUUCACAGGUGGUGCAUGGCUGUCGUCAGCUCGUGUCGUGAGAUGUUGGGUUAAGUCCCGCAACGAGCGCAACCCUUGUUCACUGUUGCCAGCACGUUAUGGUGGGGACUCAGUGGAGACCGCCGGGGUCAACUCGGAGGAAGGUGGGGAUGACGUCAAGUCAUCAUGCCCCUUAUGUCCAGGGCUUCACGCAUGCUACAAUGGCUGGUACAGAGAGUGGCGAGCCUGUGAGGGUGAGCGAAUCUCGGAAAGCCGGUCUCAGUUCGGAUUGGGGUCUGCAACUCGACCUCAUGAAGUCGGAGUCGCUAGUAAUCGCAGAUCAGCAACGCUGCGGUGAAUACGUUCCCGGGGCU
rnacentral:rRNA from 1 species